rnacentral:rRNA from 1 species
UCUGCGAUAAGCGCCGGUAAGGUGAUAUGAACCGUUAUAACCGGCGAUACCCGAAUGGGGAAACCCAGUGUGAUUCGUCACACUAUCAUUAACUGAAUCCAUAGGUUAAUGAGGCGAACCGGGGGAACUGAAACAUCUAAGUACCCCGAGGAAAAGAAAUCAACCGAGAUUCCCCCAGUAGCGGCGAGCGAACGGGGAGGAGCCCAGAGCCUGAAUCAGCAUGUGUGUUAGUGGAAGCGUCUGGAAAGGCGCGCGAUACAGGGUGACAGCCCCGUACACAAAAGCGCAUGUGCUGUGAGCUCGAUGAGUAGGGCGGGACACGUGGUAUCCUGUCUGAAUAUGGGGGGACCAUCCUCCAAGGCUAAAUACUCCUGACUGACCGAUAGUGAACCAGUACCGUGAGGGAAAGGCGAAAAGAACCCCGGCGAGGGGAGUGAAAAAGAACCUGAAACCGUGUACGUACAAGCAGUGGGAGCCCCACCACCAAAGCAUUUGCUGUACCGCGUUGACGGAGCGAAGCGACGUCAAACCGAUAAAACAGCAGUGUAAAGUGAGCCGCAGGGCGCUUUGCGCGACAGCGCAAAGG